rnacentral:tRNA from 1 species
UCCUUGGCAAUCCAGUGGUUAAGACUCUGCACUUCUGAUGCAGGGGGCACAGGUUCAAUCCCUGGUCAGGGAA